rnacentral:rRNA from 1 species
CGGGGUGCAGCAGGCGCGAAACCUCUACAAUGCACGCAAGUGUGAUAGGGGAAUCCCAAGUGCUCAGGCACAGCCUGGGCUUUUGCUAUGUGUAAAUAGCAUGGCGAAUAAGUGGUGGGUAAGACUGGUGCCAGCCGCCGCGGUAACACCAGCGCCACAAGUGGCAAUCGCGUUUAUUGGGCCUAAAGCGUCCGUAGCAGGUUCUGUAAAUUUCUUGUGAAACUGCCAGGCUCAACUUGGCAAUGUGCAGGGAACACUGCAGAGCUAGAGACCGGGAAGGGUCAGAGGUAUUCCUGAGGGAGCGGUAAAAUGCUAUAAUCUCAGGAGGACCACCGGUGGCGAAGGCGUCUGACUAGAACGGAUCUGACUGUGAGGGACGAAAGCUAGGGGAGCAAACCGGAUUAGAUACCCGAGUAGUCCUAGCUGUAAACGCUGUGAGCUAGGUGUCGCGUAUUCUACGGGAAUGCGCGGUGUCGUAAAGAAGUUACUAAGCUCACCGCCUGGGAAGUACGGUCGCAAGACUGAAACUUUAAGGAAUUGGCGGGGGAGCACAAGGGCGAAUCGCG